rnacentral:rRNA from 1 species
GAUGAACGCUGGCGGCGUGCCUAAUACAUGCAAGUCGAGCGAACGGACGAGAAGCUUGCUUUUCUGAUGUUAGCGGCGGACGGGUGAGUAACACGUGGAUAACCUACCUAUAAGACUGGGAUAACUUCGGGAAACCGGAGCUAAUACCGGAUAAUAUUUUGAACCGCAUGGUUCAAAAGUGAAAGACGGUCUUGCUGUCACUUAUAGAUGGAUCCGCGCUGCAUUAGCUAGUUGGUAAGGUAACGGCUUACCAAGGCAACGAUGCAUAGCCGACCUGAGAGGGUGAUCGGCCACACUGGAACUGAGACACGGUCCAGACUCCUACGGGAGGCAGCAGUAGGGUAUCUUCCGCAAUGGGCGAAAGCCUGACGGAGCAACGCCGCGUGAGUGAUGAAGGUCUUCGGAUCGUAAAACUCUGUUAUUAGGGAAGAACAUAUGUGUAAGUAACUGUGAACAUCUUGACGGUACCUAAUCAGAAAGCCACGGCUAACUACGU